ACCAACUGUCCCAUACAGAAGCUCACUACUGUGACGAUGCCCAUAAUGAAAACCUCUCUGAAGUGGUGAGCCCUCUGGUGGAUAAGGAUUAGCAUGGCCACAGUAAAUGCCAUGAGGUUUCAGUCAAAAAUGGCGUGGAUUUUAAGAGACUUCCCUUCUCUUCAGAAACUGGGCACCCUGUUGGAAUGAGUGAUUGGCAUGUACACACAGACAGUGUCCUGCAGUGUUUCAUCUAAUUAAGGCAGAGUUUUUAUAUUGUGGUGGCACACGCCACUGUCCAUUUGGUAUUUCUAGUGUAACAUUAUCUUAUAUUCAAGGUUGCUGCUUGUGGGCGUAAAGCUUUGCUGGAAUAAGGUAAAUCAAGGGAUUUAAUUAGGUCUGUCAGUGGUGGUUCCUACCAUUUUUUUGGCUUGUGAAUCCUUAAAACCGAGCAACGCCUACUCUUAUGUCUAAUGUUUAUCACAAUCACAGAUUAGAGAAAUAUUUGAUAUUAAUAUAUUUUUUAGUUUUUUCCACUUUCUACUAUCCUGUUUUAACCCCUCAGAUUCAUCUUGCAAGCCACUUGGUUGGGAACCACUGUUCUACAGUAUUUAUCUGGAAUAUGUAUUUCAAUCACCACAUGUUUGGUUUGACGGUUGCUUAAAUACCAAAACUCAAAAGUUCUGAUAACAGCUGCCAUUUCACUUUCAUGAUAAAGGACAUAACAAUGUCCUGUAUGAGGCAAGCUCACCGAAUACAGAGGCAGACCAUGGGUGAGGAGAAUUCAUUCAUUCAUUAAUAGUAGUUGAAGGAAGACAUAGAAAUGUAUUUGACACCACUGGAUUUAUUCCUAUACUUAUCACAGGAAGUCAGGGUAUCACAGAGACAAUAUCCCAGUUCUAAUCUCCACACUCACGGAGUAACAGACUUUAAGGCACAUUCUCGGUAGGUCCACAAGGAUUUAGGACUGUCCUUCAGCCUGAAGGAAUAACCCACUGUUCAUAUCUUUGGGAAGUUAAACACAGGGUUACCAGGGGAAGAAAAAAUAAGUUUACAUGUAAUUGUAUGAGGUUGUGUUGAUAAAUUGAUUAUUUGAAAAUCACCUCUCUUCCUCACUGUAAGGUCGAGCCUGGAAUACGUUCAAAUCAGGCAGUUGGUCCCUUAAGUGCCUUGACUGUGAAGAAAGUAAAAAACGUCAAAUAAAAUGUUCCCAAACCCACAACUCUAGGUAAACUCACAAAGUGCUGUCCCAUUAUACCAUUUCAGGCCCUUGCAGCCUCUUGCACUCAAGCACUUACCAGGUUAUGUCAACUCAUCAAGUCUGUAAAGGUUCAGGAUUUAGGCUUUAGGGAGGAGAUUGGAAUUGGGCCAAUAAUUUUCACAAAGGGAAAUGACUCAGCAGCCCACAUCAUUGAUGCUAUGUUGCAGUCAGAUGUAAGUGGUGGAACAGUGCGCAUGGGAUAACAAACAGUUCGGGAGAUACCGUAUGUGCACUGCAAAUUAGACAACAUUUGACAUCCAUCACAAAGAAAAGGCAAGAGUAAAAUGAAGAAAAUGGUCAAGAGAUUCAGAACACUUUAUCUACGUGUAGCUGCACAGAUUCUGCCAUAACAAGAAUUAUGAAGGAGAAUAUCCAGGAGGCUUAUCACUGUGUAGGGUGUGUGCUGGAACGCGGAGAACGAUAAGGAAGUGUGCAAUCAUUAACGUUCUGCACUUAAGGGCAGGUCUGAAGGACGAUAAAUAUACAAAAAGCACAAUAAGGAAUCAGAAUCUACAAGCACUUGAGCUGAGGAGAAGAUCCAGUCGUCCUGAGUGAAAUGCAACAGAGGUGACAAUGGGGUUCACGGCAUUGCACAUUCACUGUCUUCUAACUGCAUUCACUCUCACGACACAAGAGUUGGCGAAAUUAAGUGUGAGUCCCAAGAUCAGUGCAGAGUGUGGUCAACAGGUAACCCUAAACUGUGACGUGUCCUCAUCUAGAAAUGGACUAUCAGUCAUACAUAUGGGGUGGACCCACAACAAAACAACCUUAUGUUCUGUGGACAGUGAAGGAACCAUCACCACACACCACAGACAUACUACAGAUACAAGUGACUUCCAUUGUGAGUAUGAACACGGACAAUUGUCCCUCAUCUUUCAAAAAGUGCAGCCCCUGGAGAGUGGAAAGCGCUACACCUGCAAACUACACUCCAACCAGGGAGCUCCAUAUGGACAUACAAGAGUGGAGUUAAAAGAGUGUUGUGGGAGUUCUAAGGGUGUUUUGACAAGUGAUGGUCCCGUCUGCACCUUCAACCAUGUCCACCCAGAUGGAGAUGUGCACUGGUUUCAUGGCUCCCACAAUCUCUCAGAUGGGUCUUACACUACUACUACUAAAAGUGUGGAUGAAAAGGGUUGGCUGACUAUCCAUAGUUCCCUGAAGCGGAAAAGUUCAGAUGUGCCAUACAGCUGUUCCUUAAAGAGCACCACCUCUGGUAGAUACAUUUCGAGCACUUUGAUUCAGAACCAUGAAUUCCUGGUGAGGGGAGCCGGAAAACAAGAAGCUACAGGCCUGGAGAGGAAUGGAGUUGGAUCACAGAGACCUAUGAAGACAAUUUUGUGUAUUUCAAUCUUACUUGCGGUCACAUUAACAAAAAUGGAUUUGCCAAAGUAAAUCCUUCAUCAUGGCGUGUGAUAAAUCAUCAGGGUGAAGCGGUGAUUAACAUUAAUUAGGAAAAAUCCGGUACUGAGAUUCAUGUAUUUUUUUAUAAAUCCAGGACAACAGCACUUCCAGUUAAGUGAGUCAUCUUGCAUGGUCCAAAGGUUUUCUAUUCUGCCUUUUAGCAUUGGCAAGUGAACAAGGAAAUGACAGACUGUUGAGACGCUGAUAAUCAUUGCACUGCAUAAAAUGCCUUUGUUGUUUUGUGACUGCUGUGUGAAUGUACUCUUUCUGCAAGAACGCCAUGAAAACAAAAUCUGUCCACCUUGAACAGAAUGAAAAGACCUCAAAAGAUGGGUUCUGCCAUGAAUUCCCCUCAGAGACAGAGAAGCCUUUGUGAGAGAAAUAUCAAAUAGCUGGACACAGGACCUCUCAGUCAGACUGUCUGUUGUUUGUGGAUGGAUGCUGCCCUCUGGUGAACUAGUUGUGAUCAGUACGACAUGCGGCUGCUGUGUAAGUAACUGUUUCACGGCCAGUGGACUGUCAAAAUGGAGGGCAAAUGGGUGCAUUAAAAGGGUUGGUUUACCUAAAAAAAACAUUUUUCACUUACCUGUAGUGGUAUGUGGUAUGUGGUCAUGCAGACAGCUUUGGUUUCUGAUAAGCCCUGGUACAAUGGGGUGGAAAUAGCAAUUGUUUAAUUGUAGAGACAUGUUCCAAUGAACAAUGUCCACAAUGAGGCCUGGAUUAUCCAGAGUCACUGGACACUGUUUCUGGAAAGAAAUGUUCCUGUUCAAUGCUUUCAGCACAAAAAAUGAAAUUCCAUUCUCCUCAGUUUUAUAGGUGUGGUUGCAGAAUCUUGGAGAUGAAUAUCUCAAACCUGGGCAUAUAAGAAUAAGACCAAAAACUAUCUGCAUGGUUACACACCAGAGGUAAAUGAGGAAAUGUGGAUUUUUUGUUGUGCACACACAAAGUCAUAGGUAUGUGCAAAACAGAAUAUUUUGUUGCUUUUCAUUUUAGAUCUGAACAAUAGUCAGCGUCCACAGCAGGUAUAGCUCGAAGAUGGAGAAGAAACCCAGCUCCAAAGCUAAAACUAUACUUUUAUAACGCCUCAGUGGACCCUCUUCAGACAGGACAUUUGAAAGCCAUUUCAAGUCAAAAUGACGCUUUGCUAAUGGUGUCACUAAAUCGGUGCCACGCAUGGGGCAGGUUGAGCUUUUAACAACAUGUUGCUGCGGCUAAGAGCCCACUAGGUAAACGAAUGCAAGGUCACUUUGACUAUUCUAGCCCACAUGGAUGCAUCACACACACACACACACAAAUAUUGAGAACUUAUUUGUGUCGUCUUUAAUGUGUUUUGGAAUAAUGGUCUCUCAAAAGCAUCAUUUUGAGAAAUGUUCCUACUGACUAAUGACAAAAUGAUAUAUUCUACUUAAUGCCUACCACGUAUUUGGCACUGCAAAAUUGAAGCAAUUUACAUAAAUGGUAUUCAAAAUGGCUGUAUUAUAUUUAAUUAACUUCACAAUCACAGUGUUGUGCUAUAAAGGGAGCUGGUUGAUUAUCUAUUUCAUGAUGACACUGAUGUGCCUGAAUGCUGCUUAAAGGCAUGUUUUUAUUUUUCAUGUUCAUGUUUCAUGUUAUACUACUAAUGUCUCUUUCCUGUUGAAUGCACAACAGAGGAAGUUUAAAUGAAUCACUGUAAAUAGUUUGGGUUGUUAAAAGCAAGAUGUUUCAAUCAUUGUGUUACUGCAAUGUACCGAGUACCUGCAUGUCUUUACAAUUAGGAGAAACCAGUUAAAGGCACCAGAUUUAGGCUCAACAGUGUAAACAUGAGGAGACAACUUCUUUUGUCUUUUGUUUUGUUUUUACUUUUGCAGCUAACUUAAUGUUUACAAAAAAAUCUUAACUUACUUAAUAAUGUAAUAACUGCUGUUGGCUGUCAAAAUGGAGCAUUUAUAGGGAAAUAAAGGACAUUUCUGAUUUA